rnacentral:RNase_P_RNA from 1 species
GCGGAUGGCUGGAUGGCCGCGAAACCACGGUUUCGAGGAAAGUCCGGACUCCACGGAGCGACGGUGCCGGGUAACUCCCGGCCGGGGCAACCCGAGGGACAGCGCCACAGAGAACAGACGGCCUCGCUAGCGGGGCAAAGGUGAAACGGUGAGGUAAGAGCUCACCGCGGGACUGGCAACAGGACCGGCACGGCAAGCCCCACCGGGAGCAAUGCCGAAUAGGGGUUCCGCACGGACGCGCUUCGGUUCAGGAACCCGGGUUGGCAGCAUGACCCUUCCGGCAACGGCGGGGCAAGAUGAAUGGUCAUCACCCCGGAAACGGGGCACAGAAUCCGGCUUACAAGCCAUCCGCACCU